rnacentral:rRNA from 1 species
CAAACCAAAGCUGGCGACCGGCGCACGGGUGAGUAACACGUAUCCAACCUGCCUCAUACUCGGGGAUAGCCUUUCGAAAGAAAGAUUAAUAUCCGAUAGCAUAUAUUUCCCGCAUGGGUUUUAUAUUAAAGAAAUUCGGUAUGAGAUGGGGAUGCGUUCCAUUAGUUUGUUGGGGGGGUAACGGCCCACCAAGACUACGAUGGAUAGGGGUUCUGAGAGGAGGGUCCCCCACAUUGGAACUGAGACACGGUCCAA